rnacentral:lncRNA from 1 species
UUUGCUGCCUUCUAUUGAUAAAUGAAAUCACAAGGCAGAGUGAGUUCCCAGGGGGUGCAGGGGGGGGCAUUAUCACAGCUGUGGCACAGGUUUGAGCCCUGGUCUGAGACUUUCUGCAUGCUGUGGGUACGGCAAAAAAAGAAAAAGAAAAAAAAGAAAGAAAGAAAAAAAAGAAAAAAUCACAAGGGCAGCCAGGCUCAGUGCGUGGGAAAAUAAAUUCCAUGUCUUGCUAGGAUUGCAUCUGCGGAGCUUUUGUUAGUACCUUUUGAACAUGUGAACAUGAGAAAGACUGGCCUGCAUUUUUCCUGUCUCAGAAUAUCUUGCCUGGUUUGGGGAUCAGGGUAACGCCGGCCUCAUGGGAUGAGUUGGGAUCUAAUCCCUUCUCCUGGAUUUUCUGGAAGAGUUAUAUAGAAAGUUGUUAUUAUUCUUCCUUAAGUGUUUGGCAGAAUUCACCAGUGAAGCUCAGCUGGGCCUGGUGUUUUCUCUGUGGGAAGAGACCCCAGAGCCUUGAGAAAUAUUUCUUCCUUCUUGGAUUGCCGGACUGGAAGGAAAAGUCUGGCUCCAUUUCUUGACUUCUUAGUGCUUUAGCCCCUUGGAAUCUGGCUCCCUUCCUCCCUCCUUCCCUCCCUCUCUUCCUCCUUCCCUCCCUUCUUUCUAUCCUUCCUUCAGCACAUUUAUUGAGCUCCAUCUAGAAAGGAGGCACUGUCUUAAAAGCUGAGAAUAUCGACCUGCAGAAACCUGCCAGGUCCCGGACACUGUGGCACAGGAGAGAGUCAACCCCCAAGUCAGCAACUAUAACAUAACAUCAGGUCAUGAGAGGUGCUACAAGGAGAAAGAUAAAGAAGGGCUUUGGGGAAUUCCCUGGUGGUACAGUGGGUUAAGAACCCAACUGGUAUCCAUGAGGAUGCGGGUUGAAUCCCUGGCCUCGGCCAGUGGGUUAAGGAUCAAGCAUGUAGUGAGCUGAGGUGUAGGUUGCAGAUAUGGCUCAGAUCCUGCCUUGCUGUGGCUGCAGUGGAGGCCAGCAGCUGCAGCUCUGAUUUGACCCCUAGCCUGGGAACCUCCAUAUGCCGCAGGUAUGGCCCUAAAAAGGAAAAAAAAAUUAGGAGUUCCCUGGUGGUACAGUGGGUUAAGGAUCCAGCAUUGUCACUGGUGUGGCUCUGGCUACUGCUGUGUUGUGAGUUCAGUCCCUGGCCCAGGAACUUCUACAUACUGCCGGCACAGCCAAAAAAUAAAAAUAAAAAGAGAGAGAGGGAGAAAGCUUUAGUUUAUUUCACUGAAAUUGUUAUUCCCAAGUUGCCAGUGAGCGGCUUUUCCAUCCUGAUGCCCUCUUGCCACUCUCUCCUGUCUCAGCUACUAGCCACUGUGUCUCCCAUCUGCACACCCACGACGCGGGGAUUUCUGUUCCUGGCUCCUGUUUUCUCCUGGGUGACAGUGCCACCCGUAUUGCCACCUGCCUGAACGCAUUUCUGCCAUUGGUAACCUGACGUUUCUAACACCAGAUGAACUGCUUCCCUCGUCUCUCAAAUGUGCUCUUUCUGCUCCAAGCCAAGCACAUUGGUGGCACCCACAUCCCCUCUGGGCCCCCAGAAUCCUUUGCCCAACCCUCUACCCAUCACUGGGUCCUACUGAUUCUGCUUCUUCCUUUUCUCUCUCCUAUUUUUCUUUCUGUCACGCCUGUGGCAUGCGGACGUUCCCAGGCCAAGGAUGGAACCAGAGCCGCAGCAGUGACGAUGCCAAGUCCUUAACCCGUUGAGGCACCAGGGAGCUCCCCACUUCUCAGUUUUUACUUUCCUCCAAACCCUCUCUGUUUCUCACCAGGGCUGCCCCAUCAGCUUCCCCCAGUUCACCUCCUUCUAAUUCAUCCUCCUGAGAGUGAAAUGUUUUUCUUCUAGAGACAGAACUUAUUCCUUUCCUGCUUCCAAGCCUUCCGCAUCUCCCCACUGCCUCCAGGAUAACGUUCAAACUCCCAGGCCCCAUCAGGCUGCUCACCAGGCCGAGUUCCGAGUUCUGACUCGGCUCCAGGCCCCGUCCAGCUCACACCCUGCUCACACUGGUAAUGCUUCGGUGCCUCGGAGCAGCCUGUUCCUUUGCCUGCAACACCCUGUCCCCACGGCUCUGCCUGGCAAACUGCCCCAUCCUUUGAGACCCAGCCCAGAAGUCACUUCCUCCAUGAAUCCUCUGAUGCCGCCCCCGCUCCACCUCGGGGCUAGUCAUACCUUCCUUUGCGUACUCACAGCACACAUGCCAUCAGGUCAUGUUUGUUUAUUCAUACACCCUGUUCUUUAUGGACCCGGCAGCUCCCAGGGGGCACGGAGCCUGCCUUACACACUCGUGUGUCACCAGGCCCCAGUACGCAGUGUGUAGGCAAUCAAUGCUCGCAGCCUGAAUAAUUGCUCCUUUUUUUUCUUUUUCUUUUUUCUUUUUCUUUUUUUUUUUUUUCCCCAUACUGAUGGGCUAGGAAAGUUCCUGGGCCAGGGUUUGAAUCCGAACCUCAGCUUCGACCUACACUGUAGCUGUGGCAAUGCUGGAUCCUUUAACCCACUGUGCUGGGCCAGGGAUCGAACCUGUACCUGAGCCACAGCAUUUGAAUUCUUAAUCCACUGCACCACAGCUGGACCUCUGCUUCCAUGUUAAUACAUUGGGUGAGAGGAGCUCCCAUUGUGGCACAGUGGAAACGAAUCUGACUAGCAUCUACGAGGAUGCAGGUUUGAGCCCUGGCCUUGUUCAGUGGAUUAAGGAUCCAGCAUUGCUGUGAGCUAUGGUGUAGGUCACAGAUGCGGCUCGGAUCCCACGUUGCUGUGGCUGUGGUGUAGGCUGGCAGCUGCAGCUCCAAUUCGACCCCUAGCCUGGGAACCUCCUUAUGCUGCAGGUGCGGCCUUAAAGAGACCAAAAAAAAAAAAAAAAAAGAAAGAAAAUUAAAAAAUAAAUUUUGAAAAAUAAAACAGUGGGUGAGAGGCUAAUAAUGCAAAGGCUGUUGUUUGACCCGGACUCUGCAACCUGCUAACUGGAUGGUGGGGACAAAGUGGUCCACUUCUUGUCCUCACAGUGGAGACCAGUCCUCACCCAUCCUCUGACUGGCGGUCACCUCACUGACAGGUGUUCACCCUGAGCGCGGUGAAGGGAAGGGCUUUCAGCCUGGAGGACUCGUGGGUGAUUUUGGGCUCUGCUUCCCUUGUCCCCAGGGUUCUUCACAGUGUAUGUGCUACCUUGUGGGUCCUUGAGUAAUGACAUGUGGUGAUGGCCAGCAUCCAAAGCCACAUGCGGCCCCAGGACUUUGGACCCAUCUCCUGAUCAGGCUGGAGGAUAACGGCAUCCCAAAGGGGAAGAUACAUUUGGUGUAGGGUGGGCAACGUAGAGGUUUCUCUGAUGCCAGAUUGUCUAACUUCCAAUCCCAGCUCCAGCUUUGACCAGCUGUGUGAUCUUGGGGAUGUUGCUUAACCUCUCUGAGCCUUAUUUUCUUUACCUAUAAAAUGAGGCUAAUUAUAGCACCUACAUCAGAGGGUUUCACAGGAAUGAGUAAGUUAAUACAGGUAUGAGCUUGGAACAGCGCCUGGCACAUACUAGGCAAUAACUGUUGGCUCUCAUUGUGGUCGAUGUAGUGGGUAUUAUUGUUCUAAUGGAGUGAAAGACUCAGGCCCACACAGGCAGAAUCAUCCUGAGUGGCUUCUGCCCUGGAGCACGGCCUAAUGCCAGUGUCCUGUCUGUUGCCAUUUCUGGGCAGAGCCAAGUACUGGCUUUGGGCCCAGAAGCCCCAGCCACAGUGAGCACAAAGCUGGGCCAUCCAGGGCCAAGGGGCUUCCGCCAUCUCCAGGGCAUCUUGGACGCCUGACGAUUCCUGGCUGGCUGGUGUCCGGAUCCCAGGGCAGGAGGCUGAGCUGACCUCUGCCUUCCUGAGGACAGGCCUGUCCCCUCUGAGUGCUGUGAGCAGUGGGCCGGGGUCCAGAAUGGGGAUUAAAACCACCAGCUCCAGAGUGGACCUCCCUGUGGCCUGGGUGACUGCUCCCCAAUGCCCGGAGCCCCCCUUGCCUUCCGAGCAGCAGCAGCUCUGGGUGGAGCACCCCCGGGCCUGGGGAGCCGGCCCCACCUCUGACACCCAGCAUCUCAGGUUCCACACCUCAGGCUUCUCCUUUUGCUUACAAUUCCGGGAAAAGGCUCCCAUUCAGCUGAAAAUGGGCCGUGGUUUAAAUUGUAGGAAGAACUCCUGCGGGUGGGGAUAGAGGGGGCAGGCCAAGCGGUCAGCCUCACAGCGUGUCCUCUCCUGUUCCCUGCACAGCAUGGACCGAAGCCAAACAGCUUCCUUUGAGCAACAAGGUAGGGCUGGGGCUCCCUGCCGAGGGGACUUGGGUUGUUGUUUUUUUUCCCCUAGGGGUCAAAUCGGAGCUAUACCUGCAGCCUACACCACAACCAUAGCAAUGCCAGAUGUGAGCCGAGUCUGCGACCUACACCACAGCUCACGGCAAUGCCGGUCAGAUCCUUAACCCACUGAGCAAGGCCAGGGCUCCAACCUGCAUCCUCAUGGAUACUAGUUGGGUUCAUUAUGGCUGAGCCACAACAGGAACUCCGGGACUUGUGCUUUUAUGAAGGGGAGGGGAUGCUCACGCCCCCUGGGGCUGGGUCCCCCAUGAGCUUCUCUUCCUCUGUAAGACUCUGUUGCUACUGUCCCACCAUCAAUGACGGAUCAGAUGUUGCUUCUGGGGGAGGAAGGACCAAUGAGUCACCAGCAGGAUCGCCAUACUCAGUGCUGGACAUGCAACACACACACACACACACACACACACACACACACACACGCGCGCGCGCGCGCGCGCGCGCAUAUUUCAAGUCACGCACUGGACCAAGGCAUGGCCAGACAGCGCCUAUUCUUAGGAGGCAGCGAGGAAUUGCCAGUUCUUGGCGUGUCCUCUUUGUUACCUGCCAUCUGGAUGGACAUUUCUGGGAGUACUGGCCCUUAUCUCAAACCAUCAGCCUUUUGCAAAAAAAGCCAUCAACCUUUUUCAAAAAAGCCAUCAGCCUUUAGAACUUGAAAUUCCCGGAGCCACAAACACUCCAUUCUGUGUGCCGUUUCCAUGGCCCCACCUACACCUCCCAGUGCCUCGCCCCUUCCCCGCUUCCUCCUCCUCCCUCUCACCCCUAGUUGCUCCAGUUCUGCUGCCCAAAGGAUGCUGCUCCCUCCUACUCGAGGAAACCGAUUUGCUGCUCCUUCUAUUCCAGCUACUGAUUUUUUUUCCUUAAAAAAAAAAAAAAAAAAAAUCUUGGAGUUCCCAUUGUUGCUCAGGGGGUUACAAACCCGACUAGUAGCCAUGAGGAUGUGGGUUCCAUCCCUGACCUCACCCACUGGGUUAAGGAUCUGGUGUUGCCCUGAGCUGUGGUGUACGAUGAAGACGUGCUCAGAUCUGGCAUUAUGGCUGGGGUGUAGGCCAGCAGCUGCAGCUCUGAUUUGACCCCUAGCUUGGGAACUUCCAUAUGCUGCAGGUGUGGCCCCAAAAAGCAAAAAAA